rnacentral:lncRNA from 1 species
AUAUGGCUUGGGGUAUUGGGUUCUGAAAUGAAACCGCUAUGAUUGGAAGGAAAUCACUAAAAUCAAAGGCCAACCACAUUGCUAUCAUAGGAGAGUAGACUCUGGGGUACAAGCCGUAAAACCGCCAUUCCAAUAUCCUCAUCAAUACAAUACUGCCCUCAAUGCAGACCAGAAAACAGAAGGCCUUCCUUCACUUAGCCUCGAGUUAAUUCUGUUCUGCAUAUUUUAUCAAAAUGUUUAACAUACAGAACUCUGCUGGGACAGAAUGAAAUUUUGCUAUGAGGCUGAAGACUUUGAAACAAAAAUGAAAAGCUUUUACACAGACAGAGCAAAUGGUUUGUGAUGGAUACAGACACGUUAUCCAUUUAAUCAAGAAAUAUUUAGUGUGGACGACGACGACGACGGUGAUGAUGAUGACAGUGAGUCAUCAUAAAUUUUUGCUCAAGGUGGUGAAAUACAAAGCCGCACCCCACUGCAGAAACCUUUGAGUCAACAGAGGAGCGCACCAAUUCUAGUUGAGAAGUAAAUUAAGGUGUGAAAAUACUGCCCGUAAAGCUGUGAAACUUGGCUUGUGGACAACCUGGAAAGCUUGCACUGAUUUAAAGACGCCAUGGGUAUUGAUUCUUUCUGUAUUUCUCCCCCAUUUGAUUGUCAGGGAGGAAGGGGGAUUAUUGCAGGAUAAAGAUUGCUUUUGGAAAAACGGG